AAGGUACCGAAGUAAGCACAAACAUCCAACAUAAAAACGUUAGGUCAAGGUGUAGCCUAUGGGAUGGAGAGAAAUGGGCUACAUUUUCUACUCUAAGACAAGAAUUUAACCCAGACGGAAGUUUCCAUGAAAUUGGAGACCGAAGGAGGAUUUAGCAGUAAAUUAAGAAUAGAGAGCUUAAUUGAAUCAGGCCAUGAAGCAA
rnacentral:rRNA from 1 species